GAUGAACGCUGGCGGCGUGCCUAAUACAUGCAAGUCGAGCGAACAGACGAGGAGCUUGCUCCUCUGACGUUAGCGGCGGACGGGUGAGUAACACGUGGAUAACCUACCUAUAAGACUGGGAUAACUUCGGGAAACCGGAGCUAAUACCGGAUAAUAUAUUGAACCGCAUGGUUCAAUAGUGAAAGACGGUUUUGCUGUCACUUAUAGAUGGAUCCGCGCCGCAUUAGCUAGUUGGUAAGGUAACGGCUUACCAAGGCAACGAUGCGUAGCCGACCUGAGAGGGUGGUCGGCCAAACUGGAACUGAAACACGGUCCAGACUCCUACGGGAGGCAGCAGUAGGGAAUCUUCCGCAAUGGGCGAAAGCCUGACGGAGCAACGCCGCGUGAGUGAUGAAGGUCUUCGGAUCGUAAAACUCUGUUAUUAGGGAAGAACAAAUGUGUAAGUAACUAUGCACGUCUUGACGGUACCUAAUCAGAAAGCCACGGCUAACUACGUG
rnacentral:rRNA from 1 species